GUUGGGGCGUUCGGCGACUGAGGAGCGAUUGUGCAGGUGCAGUAAGGGUACCCUGUGGCCUAGCGUUUGAGGGGACAGAGAUUCAGUUUGCCUGAGAGCUUUAAAGCCGCUGGGUUCUGCCUUCGCCCUGAGAAGGUUUCGUUCCCGAAGUCAGGUCUGACCCGGACCGCAGGUGGUGUUAGAUCUAUUAACAGAUUUUUUGCAGACAGGCCAUUUUUGCUAUUCUUUUUUCCAUGAUUUGAUGAUUCUUUAAGCCUAGAAGAAUGUGUCUGUAAUUCAGAUAACCUCAUGUUUGGUGUUUUCAGGCCCAUGGUCACUACUGUCAAAUGCUGUUACAAUCACACUGGAUAUGCUGCUGUUCUUUACUUUGGGCUUGUUUGUACAUUUUGUGUUCUUCGUCUCCAUCUUUGACAUUUAUUUUACAUCUCCUUUGGUUCAUGGAAUGACUCCUCAGUUUACAUCAUUGCCUCCUCCAGCAAGAAGAUUAGUGCUCUUUGUUGCCGAUGGCCUGAGAGCAGAUGCACUUUAUGAAUUAGAUGAAAAUGGAAACUCAAGAGCACCAUUUAUUAGGAAUAUUAUAAUGCAUGAAGGCAGCUGGGGUAUAUCUCAUACACAUGUGCCAACAGAAUCUCGGCCAGGGCAUGUAGCCCUGAUAGCUGGGUUUUAUGAAGAUGUGAGUGCAGUUGCCAAAGGGUGGAAGGAAAAUCCUGUAGAAUUUGAUUCUCUUUUUAAUGAAAGCAAAUACACAUGGAGCUGGGGAAGUCCGGAUAUCUUGCCUAUGUUUGCCAAAGGUGCUAGUGGAGACCAUGUUUAUACAUACAGUUAUAAUGCUCAAAGAGAGGAUUUUGGUGCCCAUGAUGCAACAAAACUGGAUACAUGGGUUUUUGAUAAUGUUAAGGAAUUCUUUCAUGCUGCCAGAAACAACCAGUCUUUGUUUUCUAAAAUAAAUGAAGAAAAAAUAGUUUUUUUCUUACAUUUGUUAGGAAUAGAUACAAAUGGACAUGCUCACCGACCAUCUUCAAGGGAAUAUAAGGACAAUAUUAAAAUAGUUGAUGAUGGAGUGAAAGAAAUUGUGUCCAUGUUUAAACAUUUUUAUAGAAAUGAUGGAAAAACAGCAUUUAUCUUUACCUCAGACCAUGGAAUGACAGACUGGGGUUCCCAUGGGGCUGGUCAUCCUUCAGAAACUUUAACUCCCUUGGUAACUUGGGGAGCAGGAAUUAAGUAUCCCCAAAAAGUAUCAGCUCAGCACUUUGAUGAUGAGUUUUUGAAAGAAUGGGGAUUGGAGGAAUGGAAAAGGAGAGAUGUCAAUCAGGCUGAUAUUGCACCAUUGAUGGCUUCCCUUAUUGGAGUCCCUUUUCCCCUUAAUUCAGUGGGAAUCUUGCCUAUGGAUUAUCUGAACAACACUGACCUCUUUAAAGCAGAGAGCAUAUUUACAAAUGCAGUACAGAUGCUUGAACAGUUCAAGGUGAAAAUGACUCAGAAAAAAGAAACUACUUUACCAUUUUUGUUUACACCAUUUAAGUUGCUUUCUGGUUCUAAACAGAUGAACAUUUUAAGAAAAGCAAGGUCUUACAUAGAACAGGGAGAGUUUGAUGAAGCGAUCUCCCUUUGCAAAGAACUGAUUCAUCUUGCAUUGAAAGGAUUGUCCUAUUAUCAUACUUAUGAUAGAUUCUUUUUGGCCACCAAUGUUGUUCUUGGCUUUGUGGGAUGGACUGUUUAUGCUUCUUUGUUGAUCAUCAAGUCUUGUUCCAACCUAACAAGAUGUGUUAAUAAAGUUAAGAAACCAAGCCAUCUUCUGCCAUGUUUUGUAGCUAUUGGCAUUUUAAUAGCAUUUUUCCUGCUGAUUCAAGGCUGUCCCUGGACUUAUUAUGUAUAUUGUUUGUUGCCAGUGCCAAUAUGGUAUGCAGUUCUAAAAGAGUUUCAAGUUAUUCAAGAUCUUAUUGCAUCAAUAUUGGCCUUUCCUCUAAGUCAUUUUGUUGGGUAUCUGUUAGUUUUUAUUUUGGGAAUUGAAGUAUUAGUUCUUAGUUUUUUCUACCGCUAUAUGCUUACAGCUGGACUUACUGCAUUUGCAGUUUGGCCAUUCCUCAAUCAGCUGUGGACUCGAGCAAAGAUUACCUCCUUGAGUUGGACUUUCUUCUGUUUGCUUCUGGCAGUGUUCCCACUGAUGCCUGUCGUAGGUCGAAAGCCAGAUAUCUCUCUAGUAAUGGGUGCAGGCUUGCUGGUUCUUCUGCUAUCCCUGUUUGUUUUGACAUCUCUUCUGAAAAGAAAAACUAGCUUUGGAAAGGCGGAGAUAUUGGUACAUCUGUUACAGAUGAUAAAUACAGUGCUUUCUAUGUAUAUUGUGUAUAGUACCCACAAUAGUCUAUUCAAGAAACAGGGACUACCUCUUAUGAAUCAAAUUGUGAGCUGGGCAACAUUAGCCUCUUCCUUGGUUGUGCCACUGCUGAGUUCUCCGGUUCUCUUCUGGCGAUUGUUCAGCAUACUUCUUUCCUUGAUGUCAACCUAUUUACUGCUAAGCACAGGGUAUGAAGCUCUCUUUCCAUUAGUUUUGUCAUGUUUGAUGUUUAUCUGGAUAUACAUGGAACAAGAAACCCUACAACAAUCUGGUAUUUUCUCUAAACAGAAGCUCACCAGUAUCCAGUUCUCCUACAAUACUGAUAUAACUCAGUUUCGACAACUAUAUCUGGAUGACGUCCGUAGGGCUUUUUUCCUUGUCUUCUUCUUAGUGACAGCAUUUUUUGGAACUGGAAACAUAGCUUCUAUUAACAGCUUUGAUCUUGCUUCUGUCUACUGCUUUUUGACUGUGUUUAGUCCUUUUAUGAUGGGAGCCUUGAUGAUGUGGAAGAUUUUAAUUCCUUUUGUUCUUGUGAUGUGUGCUUUUGAAGCAGUUCAGUUAACUACACAGUUAUCUUCAAAAAGCCUUUUUCUCAUUGUUCUCGUCUUAUCAGACAUCAUGGCCUUGCAAUUUUUCUUCUUGAUCAAGGAUUGUGGCAGCUGGCUUGAUAUUGGAACAAGAUACCAUUUGCUUGGAAUUUCCCUUUCUAUCAGUCUCUGUAUGUCUCUGCAAAGGAGGUGUUGGGUAUUUUGUACCAGCAAAGAGAGAAAAGUAUCUAAAACAAGAACAUUAUCAGAUGAAGAAAAUACAGAUGAUUCUGAAGUUCCAUCUUCAUCAGAAAUGAACUCUACUUGUCCCAGAUCAAUAAUGUCAGUGAAGGAGAAGCAUCAGUGGUUCAAAAUGUUUGCCUCUUUGUUUGGGGAGACUAAAGAUGAUAAGGAGGAAGAAAAAGAGACACCUGAGUAACCCACAGCAGGCAAUGAGAAGACACUUCCAAGCAAAAUUCCCAGACCCCUAAGCCCUGGGUGACACUAAUGUCUGCUUUGUUGCAAGGAAAAUGAGAAGAGGCAAUACUGAUGUGGGUAGAAAUCAGAAGACAAGCUCCUCUGGCUUAUGAACCAUUUUCUCCCCUUGCCAUGAUUCAUGAGGACAAGGUGACAUGGAAAAUUCCUUGAGCAUCAGCCACUAUGUGAUUGUCAUGUCCAUGGCCAUCUUUCUGGUGUUUCUCAACGGUCUGGCACAGCUACUCACAACUAAGAAGCUCAACCUAUGUGGCAAACCCAAAAGCCACCUCCUAUAGUGUUGCUGAAUCUAGCAUCUGAAUCUUGUUUAUCAUUCUCUAAUUUAAAAGUCUCAUGAAGGAUUCAAUAAGAAGAUGGACAUAGAUACAUAGUAUAUUCUACUAUAAAAAAUCGUAUUUUGAAUUCUGAAUUUACAAGUUGUCUUCGAUAAAGGAGCUACCUUUUUCUUUGAAAUUUUUCAUUUACUUUGAAGUAGUGAUUAUGUCUGUAAGAAUGCAUAGUAAAGCAUUCUCCAUUUUUAUUCUUUCCAUUUAGCUGGCAGCUCUUCUCUAUAAUGUCCAAAUCUCCUGUACCAAUCUGAUCAUCAUGAUAUAGCUUCCUAUAUACCCAAAGGAGAGCAUCUGUGUAUGCGGACAGUAUUAAUGGCAUCCAAAAAUCAUUGCUGUAGUUGAAGUUAAAGCAGAGCAUAAGCUGGCACCAUGAGUAUUUAUUAGCUCUCAGCACUGGUUUUGUAGUAAUUUGAACUACUCAGUAAAAUCACUGGUAAGGCAGGGAGUGUUAUUUUAGAUUUACUGAAGCUUUGGCAGAAAAAUAAUUUUGCAAGUGUAUGUCAUUUUUCUUCAGAAUGCAGUAGACUUUUUAGUGCUGUUUCUAGAGUUUUCAUAGUCCACUAGUUAGAUGGAGGUUUAACUUUCACUGUCUCUUCCUCUUCACCCCAAAGUCAUUUAGAUUUUCAUGUGUCAAUUAAUUCCAGUGGACUAAAUAUUUGAAGACUAAUCUUUAUUGGAAUAUCCAUACAGUUACCUUUACAUAUCACUAUAGAGUUGGCCUUUUGCCUGUGAUAUGUCAGAAGUGUUUGGCUGAUGCUAAGCUUUGCUGGUAUGUAUCCCAUUUAAAAAAAAAUAAUUGCUUUUGAGUUAAAUUAUUGCCUUACUCAUUUGGAUUAAUGACUAGAAAGCACUUUACAGGUGACUAGAUGUUCAAAAUUUGCAAGUGAUUGAAUAAAAACAAUUUAGAAAAUUAAAAUUCAGUUUGGAGCUUGGCAUGAUGACUCAUACCUAUAAUCCCAGCACUCAGGAGACUGAGGCAGGAGGGUCGUUGUGAGUUCCAGACCAGCCUGGGGUACAAAGUAAGCUCAAAAUAAGCCCAAACUGCAUAGUGAGACCCUGUCCAAAAAAAACACAAAAUUCAGUUUGGCAUAAUAUAUUUUCUUAAUCUUUAUUUCUGAUGAACUAUAGUUUUUAAUAUAUUUGUGAUAAUACUUCAUGGUAUAGCAGUGAAAGAAUUCUGGUGUUUUAAAAGAGAAGUAUUUAUGUUAACAUAAGACCCCAUGAUUCAGUCUGUAAAACAGGCAGACAAGAGACUGCUGGGUUGGCAGAAAGAGAAUCCAUGUGUUUUCAUAUAAUCUCAUGACUUCUCAUCAGUUUUUCCCUGUAUCUGAGAAGGCUGAUUACUAUACUUAAAAAGUUAUCACUUAAGACUUUUUAUAUCUAAUUUUGCCUUUUGUUUUUCCUCAGACUUUUAUACAAAUAAAUAAAUGGAUAUUUUAUUACAGUGUUAUAAAA